rnacentral:rRNA from 1 species
UACAGAGGUCUCGAGCGUUAGGCGGAAUCACUGGGCUUAAAGCGUGUGUAGGCGGAUCGUUAAGUGCCUUGUGAAAUCCCACGGCUCAACCGUGGAACUGCUUGGCAUACUGGCGGUCUUGAGCAGCCUAGGGGCGAGCGGAACAAAUGGUGGAGCGGUGAAAUGCGUAGAUAUCAUUUGGAACGCCAAUGGUGAAAACAGCUCGCUGGGGGUUUGCUGACGCUGAUACACGAAAGCCAGGGGAGCAAACGGG